rnacentral:lncRNA from 1 species
UGGAAUGUCCAGUGGGUCCAGGGUCCUGGGCACUUAGUGACAAUUACGUGUUUCCAACAGAAAGCCCGAUUUGGCCUAAGUGGGACUGAGGAUAUCCAUUCCCGGUUCAGGGCAGCCUGCCAACAGCAGGCAGUGACUGUAAGACUGCAAGAGGACAGAGCAUUGAUGACCCUUUCAGGGGAUACCUCUGCCCUGGCCUUUGACCUCUCCAAGGUGCCCAGCCCAGAGGCAGCCCCCAGGCUGCAGGCUUUGACUCUCAGCCUGGCAGAGCAUGUAUGCAACCUGGAGAGGCGGCUGGCAGGUACUGUAUGUGUGGGCACCUGUACCUUCCUUCGGGGACAUGCUUUCACAGACCCUCCUGGCAUUGAGUGAUAUGCCAUGGCUUUCUCCCAGCCACAGAAGAGACCGCCAUUAGCCCCAGGAAGAGCACCCAGCCAGCAGGCACUCAGUUCUUACCAGAACUUGAUCACCAGAGAGGCAGCUCUGGGUCUGGGGUCAGGAGACGGUGUCCAGGGGAGUCUCUCGUCAACCCUGGUUUCAAAAGUAAGAAACCAGCUGGUGGUGUAGACUUCGAUGAGACCUGAAGCUAGCAAAGCCUGUGUGACCUUGCCAGGAGUCUGUCUGCAAGGAAAGGGGA